rnacentral:rRNA from 1 species
GUGAGGAAUAUUGCGCAAUGGACGACAGUCUGACGCAGCGACGCCGCGUGGGGGAUGAAGGCCUUCGGGUUGUAAACCCCUUUCAGGAGGGAAGAUGGGACGAGCAAUCGUUCGGACGGUACCUCCAGAAGCAGCCACGGCUAACUCUGUGCCAGCAGCCGCGGUAAGACAGAGGUGGCAAGCGUUGUUCGGAUUUACUGGGCGUAAAGCGUGCGUAGGUGGUUCGGUAAGACCUGUGCGAAAUCCCUGGGCUUAACCCAGGAAGGUCGCAGGUGACUGCCGUGCUUGAGGACGGGAGAGGAGAGCGGAAUUCCCGGUGUAGCGGUGAAAUGCGUAGAGAUCGGGAAGAAGGCCGGUGGCGAAGGCGGCUCUCUGGAACGUUCCUGACACUGAGGCACGAAAGCGUGGGGAGCAAACAGGAUUAGAAACCCUUGUAGUCC